rnacentral:rRNA from 1 species
GAUGAACGCUGGCGGCGUGCCUAAUACAUGCAAGUCGAGCGAACGGACGAGAAGCUUGCUUCUCUGAUGUUAGCGGCGGACGGGUGAGUAACACGUGGAUAACCUACCUAUAAGACUGGGAUAACUUCGGGAAACCGGAGCUAAUACCGGAUAAUAUUUUGAAUCGCAUGGUUCAAAAGUGAAAGACGGUCUUGCUGUCACUUAUAGAUGGAUCCGCGCUGCAUUAGCUAGUUGGUAAGGUAACGGCUUACCAAGGCAACGAUGCAUAGCCGACCUGAGAGGGUGAUCGGCCACACUGGAACUGAGAUACGGUCCAGACUCCUACGGGAGGCAGCAGUAGGGAAUCUUCCGCAAUGGGCGAAAGCCUGACGGAGCAACGCCGCGUGAGUGAUGAAGGUCUUCGGAUCGUAAAACUCUGUUAUUAGGGAAGAACAUAUGUGUAAGUAACUGUGCACAUCUUGACGGUACCUAAUCAGAAAGCCACGGCUAACUACGUG